rnacentral:rRNA from 1 species
CACGUAGGGCGCAAGCGUUGUCCGGAAUUAUUGGGCGUAAAGAGCUCGUAGGCGGUCUGUUGCGUCCGCUGUGAAAACUCGGGGCUUAACCCCGAGCCUGCAGUGGAUACGGGCAGACUAGAGGUAGGUAGGGGAGAAUGGAAUUCCCGGUGUAGCGGUGAAAUGCGCAGAUAUCGGGAGGAACACCGGUGGCGAAGGCGGCAUCCUGGACCGGUAUUGACGCUGAGGCGCGAAAGCCAGGGGAGCAAAGCGGG